rnacentral:rRNA from 1 species
AUUGAACGCUGGCGGCAGGCCUAACACAUGCAAGUCGAACGAGUGGCGGACGGGUGAGUAAUGUCUGGGAAUCUGCCUGAUCGAGGGGGAUAACUACUGGAAACGGUAGCUAAUACCGCAUACCAUCAGAUGUGCCCACAUGGGAUUAGCUAGUGGGUGGGGUAACGGUUCACCAAGGCGACGCUCCCUAGCUGGUCUGAGAGGAUGACCAGCCACACUGGAACGGUGACACGGGCCAGACUCCUACGGGAGGCAGCAGUGGGGAAUAUUGCACAAUGGGCGAAAGCCUGAUGCAGCCAGGCCGCGUGUAUGAAGAAGGCCUUAGGGUUGUAAAGUACUGUCAGCGGGGAGGCGUUACCCGAAGAAGAAGCACCGGCUAACUCCGUGCCAGCAGCCGCGGUAAUAC